UACGUAGGUGGCAAGCGUUAUCCGGAAUUAUUGGGCGUAAAGAGCGCGCAGGUGGUUAAUUAAGUCUGAUGUGAAAGCCCACGGCUUAACCGUGGAGGGUCAUUGGAAACUGGUUGACUUGAGUGCAGAAGAGGGAAGUGGAAUUCCAUGUGUAGCGGUGAAAUGCGUAGAGAUAUGGAGGAACUCCAGUGGCGAAGGCGGCUUCCUGGUCUGCAACUGACACUGAGGCGCGAAAGCGUGGGGAGCAAACAGG
rnacentral:rRNA from 1 species